rnacentral:tRNA from 1 species
AGGUCCUUGGGAGAAACGUUAUCCCCCUUUUCGGGUUUAAAAACCGGGGAUAGUGGACGACGCACAUCACCCUGGUGUUGCUAUACCUAGCAUCUAGUUCACGCACAUCACCCGGGUGGGGCUAUACAUGGGCGGC